GACGAACGCUGGCGGCGUGCCUAAUACAUGCAAGUAGAACGCUGAAGGAGGAGCUUGCUCUUCUGGAUGAGUUGCGAACGGGUGAGUAACGCGUAGGUAACCUGCCUGGUAGCGGGGGAUAACUAUUGGAAACGAUAGCUAAUACCGCAUAACAGUAGAUGUUGCAUGACAUUUACUUAAAAGGUGCAAUUGCAUCACUACCAGAUGGACCUGCGUUGUAUUAGCUAGUUGGUGGGGUAACGGCUCACCAAGGCGACGAUACAUAGCCGACCUGAGAGGGUGAUCGGCCACACUGGGACUGAGACACGGCCCAGACUCCUACGGGAGGCAGCAGUAGGGAAUCUUCGGCAAUGGACGGAAGUCUGACCGAGCAACGCCGCGUGAGUGAAGAAGGUUUUCGGAUCGUAAAGCUCUGUUGUAAGAGAAGAACGAGUGUGAGAGUGGAAAGUUCACACUGUGACGGUAUCUUACCAGAAAGGGACGGCUAACUACGUGCCAGCAGCCGCGGUAAUACGUAGGUCCCGAGCGUUGUCCGGAUUUAUUGGGCGUAAAGCGAGCGCAGGCGGUUAGAUAAGUCUGAAGUUAAAGGCUGUGGCUUAACCAUAGUACGCUUUGGAAACUGUUUAACUUGAGUGCAAGAGGGGAGAGUGGAAUUCCAUGUGUAGCGGUGAAAUGCGUAGAUAUAUGGAGGAACACCGGUGGCGAAAGCGGCUCUCUGGCUUGUAACUGACGCUGAGGCUCGAAAGCGUGGGGAGCAACAGGAUUAGAUACCCUGGUAGUCCACGCCGUAAACGAUGAGUGUAGGUGUUAACCCUUUCCGGGGUUUAGUGCCGUA
rnacentral:rRNA from 1 species